rnacentral:rRNA from 1 species
AUUGAACGCUGGCGGCAGGCCUAACACAUGCACGUCGAGCGAGCGUCGGACGGGUGAGUAAUGUAUGGGGACUGCCCGAUCGCGGGGGAUAACUACUGGAAACGGUGGCUAAUACCGCAUACUAUCGGAUAACCCAUAUGGGAUUAGCUAGUAGGUGGGGUAACGGCUCACCUAGGCGACGAUCUCUAGCUGGUCUGAGAGGAUGAUCAGCAAAACUGGGACAGAGACACGGACCAGACUCGUACGGAGGCAGCAGUGGGGAAUAUUGCACAAUGGGCGCAAGCCUGAUGCAGCCAUGCCGCGUGUAUGAAGAAGGCCUUAGGGUUGUAAAGUUCUUUCGGUAGCGAGGCGUUAACUACAGAAGAAGCACCGGCUAACUCCGUGCCAGCAGCCGCGGUAAUAC